rnacentral:lncRNA from 1 species
UGGGCGCCCGCGCGCGGCAUGACGACCGCCACCGCCAUCGUCGCCGGGCACGGCCUCGCCCUGCGCCGGAGCCUCCCGCUCCCUAACCCUCCAGGGAGACCCACCACGGUCUCCCUCUCUGCGCGGUCCCUCCCGCACGCACGCCGCCGCACGAUUGUUCCGGUCAGCCCAUCGCCGCGGCGGCCGUGCCGGUGCCGGUCCAUCUCCUCCGAGAGCUCCACCGCCGCCUCCGCCGCGUCCGACACCGUCGAAGAAGAUGCGGAGCCCGCUGAGACCUACGACGAGGACGAGG